rnacentral:rRNA from 1 species
GAUGAACGCUGGCGGCGCGCCUAACACAUGCAAGUCGAACGGUUAAAGCACCUUCGGGUGUGUAUAAAGUGGCGAACGGCUGAGUAACACGUGGGCAACCUGCCCCUCGCACCGGGAUAGCCUCGGGAAACCGUGGUUAAUACCGGAUACUCCGGGACCCCCGCAUGGGGGUGCCGGGAAAGCCCUGACGGCGAGGGAUGGGCCCGCGGCCUGUUAGCUUGUUGGCGGGGUAACGGCCCACCAAGGCGAUUAUGGGUAGCCGGGUUGAGAGACCGACCGGCCAGAUUGGGACUGAGACACGGCCCAGACUCCUACGGGAGGCAGCAGUGGGGAAUCUUGCACAAUGGGCGAAAGCCUGAUGCAGCGACGCCGCGUGCGGGACGAAGGCCUUCGGGUUGUAAACCGCUUUCAGCAGGGACGAGGCCGCAAGGUGACGGUACCUGCAGAAGAAGCCCCGGCUAACUACGUGCCAGCAGCCGCGGUAAU